AAUUGUGGACAAGGGGGGAAACCCUGCUCCAGCCACCCAGCGUGUAGGAUGAUGGUCUUUGCGUUGUAAACUACUUGUGGCACAGAAGAAAAGGUAUCUCCUAAUACGAGAUACUGCUGACGGUAUCUGCUGAAUAAGCACCGGCUGACGACGUGCCAGCAGCCGCGGUAAUACGUAGGGUGCAAGCGUUAACAGGAAUUACGGGGCGUAAAGCGUGUGUAGGCGGUUCGGAAAGAAAGAUGUGAAAUCCCAGGGCUAAACCUUGGAACUGCAUUUUUAACUGCCGAGCUAGAGUAUGUCAGAGGGGGGUAGAAUUCCACGUGUAGCAGUGAAAUGCGUAGAUAUGUGGAGGAAUACCGAUGGCGAAGGCAGCCCCCUGGGAUAAUACUGACGCUCAGACACGAAAGCGUGGGGAGCAAACAG
rnacentral:rRNA from 1 species